rnacentral:rRNA from 1 species
UACAGAGGGUGCGAGCGUUGUUCGGAAUUACUGGGCGUAAAGCGCGCGUAGGUGGUCUUUUAAGUCCGACUGUGAAAUCCCGGGGCUCAACCCCGUGGGCUGCAGGGGAUACUGGGAGACUGGAGACACGUAGAGGCAAGCGGAAUUCCGGGUGUAGCGGUGGAAUGCGUAGAGAUCCGGAAGAACACCGGAGGCGAAGGCGG